rnacentral:rRNA from 1 species
CGGAGGAUCCAAGCGUUAUCCGGAUUCAUUGGGUUUAAAGGGUGCGUAGGCGGAAUGAUAAGUCAGUGGUGAAAGCCUGCAGCUUAACUGCAGAACUGCCAUUGAUACUGUCAAUCUUGAGUACAUUUGAUGUGGGCGGAAUGUGUCAUGUAGCGGUGAAAUGUUUAGAUAUGACACAGAGCACCGAUUGCGAAGGCAGCUCACAAAACUGUAACUGACGCUGAGGCACGAAAGCGUGGGUAUCAAACAGGAUUAGAUACCCUGGUAGUCCACGCUGUAAACUAUGAUUACUCGAUGUUUGCGAUACACUGUAAGCGUCUAAGCGAAAGCGAUAAGUAAUCCACCUGGGGAGUACGCUCGCAAGAGUG